UGGCAGCACGUCAGCACCUAGAAUCACAAAACCUUUAAGGUUGGAACUAAGAUCACCAAGUCCAACCACCAGCCCAUCCCCACCAUGCCCACUAACCACGUCCCUCAGUGCCACAUCUCCAUGCUUCUCAAAGACACAAAGCUUCACAGGGACAGUAAUACCACCUCCCUGUGCCAGUGCAGUGCAGCUCUUUCAAAGAAUAAGUUUUUCCUAGUAUUUUCCUAGUUCCUCAAAUGUUGGAAGCAGGGAUCAACUAUAUGUUGUUGCUCUUGAGGCCCAUCUAAACCUUUUCAGAAGGAGAGGCUCUGGCAGUUGUGAUCAUGAACAGCAAGCAGAAAAGUUUGGAAGGUUAUGUAAGUACAGCGUAAGUUAUGUAAAUGCUUUAAGCUGCCUGAAGAGGUGGUGGAGUUUGCUCCUUGGAGAUUUCCAAAGAUGUGGGUCUGCCUGGACGUAGGUCUGGGCACCUUGCUCCGAAUGACCCCAUUGGAGCAGAGGUUAGAGAGAUGGACCCAGAGCUGACUUCUGAUCUCAACCAUUCUGUGAUUCCGAAGUUGAGUGUACGUACAGAAAUGCAGAGAUAGCGACUGGCUGAGUGCUGGGAUGUGCCUGCCUGGCCGCUUCCCUGGUCCCCAUGUUGUUCCCCAUGUGAUCACGACAGGAGGGAUCCCCUGGGUUCAUGCAUGGGUGGACAGAGCUUUGAAGCAGAAGCAAGAUGUCAGGAAUUCUCUGAUUUACAAGAGCAAAGGGCUCUCAUCAUUCCUGUAGGAACAGAACACCAUCACAUACCCCACUUUUCUGCAGUGCUCACUUCCUACAGAAAGAUUUUACUUUGAAAUGAAACACCUUUCCUGUGCUUUUUCAGCAUGGGUAGCUAGCAUGAACAUGAAAGCAGCCAUGGGCUGGGUGCUGGGGCUGUAUAGGGGCCCCUCUGCCUCUGCAAGAGCUCUUUGUGUGACUGCUUUGUUUAGCAUCGCCUUUUCAGACAGGCAUUUUUCAACCCUUAGCAUUGUUCAGGUUCUACUGCAGAGUCAAAUGUUAAUCGGUGCGUUGUAGUAAAAUGUUUUAUGGGACAAUUUAGCUUGAGCUGUACCCUCUCCCUUUCCAUUGUUUUUUCUCAAGGAGCACAAGGGGCUGAGUGAUGCUGUUUUCCAGGUGUGAGCUCUUCUGACCACUCGCCAUCCUUUCAAGCAGGGAAUGCAGUUAGAGCACUAAAGUUGGAACUGGUGUUUCUCCUGUCUGUGGCAUGUGGAUGAUCCUGUUUGCAUUUGUUGGCUUUGAGUGGCAAUCAUUGCUCCCCACACAGAUACCCAAGUGUGACAUCCAUCCCCAAGGACAAGGGCCAUGCUCAGGCAUCUUGUCCAAAGGGGACCACGUUUUAUGCCCAUCUCCUUAAGAAACCCAUCCCAUGUCCAACCUUCCUUGUCACAAGUGGCACAGUGCUGGACGUGGUUCCCUUGGAAAAUAAAAUCCUGCAUCACAAAGAUGAAACUGUUUUGUUCAUGGCUCCCAUGGACAAGUGUGUUCUGAGAAGACUGACUCAAGUCAGAGGUAAAGAUGCUGCUCACACCUCAGCUGAUCUCAACAGCCAUCUGAAAACCCCACUAGAGGUAUAAAAAGACACAUCUGCAAAUCAAGGUGUUAUUUGGACACUCUUCUCUUCGGGAAAAUUCCAUAAAGUUAAAUAGUGAUAGGAGCAGAAUGCUUGAAGUAUUGAAUAUGCUGCUAUGUACUUUUUUUCUCCAUAUACUGUAGAAUUUUUGUGCAUAUCAAGAUCAUUUAUAUGAACAUCUUUAACACUUUAUUUUCUAUUCCAUUUUGUUAGCAGGAUCUGAAACAGAAAACAUAAGUGUCCAUUACAGUAUGUACAGCAUCCUCCUAAGGAUUUUGUUUCUGAGAUCCACAAAAGAAGUGUGUUCUUCAUCAGUUAAAGCUGUCCCUUUUUAGCAUCUCCUAAUCCCUCCCAUUGUUGGAGGUCUUCAUCCAGCUGCAAAGAUAAUCCUUCCACUUGGAGGCCUAGGCUCCAAAAUUCACCCUCUGCACAGAAUUUCCCAGUCUUGAUUUAAUGUUUUGGGUUUUGCUCAAAUAAGAGGCAUGGCAGCGUUGAAACAAGAAUGUACAAAUGCAUCUUGUCUUGUGUUGGUACUGUGGAAGCAUUUCCAAUCACAAAAUUCUGCAGGAAAAAGGGCUGGAUGGGAAAUUUCCAUGUAUGCUGGAAAUAGGCAUAGUAAAUAGCUGGGCUGUUUUCUACUCUGAGUCUCAGAGGACCAGAAUCUGUUCAGGGAUUUCUCUCUCUCUUUUUUUUUUUCUCCCCAUCUCCCAAAUGUUUAGUUUUUCUGCUUUCUUCUUUUGGCCUUUACCUGUUUGAUCUUGUGGGAAAAGCCAUUAAAGACUGAGGAGGCCCAUCAGUGAAUAAUUGCUAGCACCCUGUAAUUGAACUAAUCAGAGGUGGUUAAUUGUGAUGGGAAAAUAAGUGUAGAAGGGCCACCGCUGUGGUUUGCAGGCUGGGGAUGAAGCUGCUGAGCUGACUGCUGACAGACAAUGAAUGAGAAAUAUUUGAGUUUGGGUUCUCUUCCAAGGCAUUAGGUGACUCGUGGUUUGUAGCCCUAUCUCUAGGCACCUCCAAUCCCUGAGGCACAGUUAAGCUGCAUUAAUUCCAGGUUUUGUUACCUCACCAUGACUUACUCCUUUUUCCAACUUGGAUUGCGAUGUGCCUUAGAUGGAAAAGCUUUGUUGAUGUCUUCUUUUGCCUCUUGUUUAUAGAAGAAGGUGUGAUCUGGAAUGAGGGGUUUGAAAUUACUACCCCAGUACCUGAGGGAAAUCUCUACAACCUGAUUCCUUCUCUGUUUGGAGAACUCUACAACUUGAGUACUUACAUCACUAUUCUUCUGCCCUCUGGGUUGCUCUGGUUUACCUAAAUAUGCUGUUUGGGGUGUAUUUUGUGAUCCUGACCCGAGUGAGAUAAGAAGGCUUUGACAUGUCUUUUCAGCUGUGAGAUAUUCAACCAAAACUCCUACAUCAGGCAGUGAUUGGGGUAUCACUCCUAAGAGGCAAGGGUAGACCCUGCACAGAGCCUGGAUGGGAAAACACCAAAAAGCCUUUUUUUUUUUUUACUUUCUCUUCCUUUAAACUUUAUCGAGUGUUCCUGUCAUCCUGCUUUUUUGGAAGAACCACAUCCCUGCCUUCUUUUGCAGAGCUCACCCUAUUUGUGCUUCCUUGGAUACGUGCCUUAAGUUGAAAUGAUUGUUGUGUUUUGCUUUCCUCAUAUUCUGACCAAACAUCUAGACUAUGGCUUGGAUGAGCCUCUUGUGCCAGCUUUUAUUGUUUGUUGACAAGAGACUUGAUUUGCUUUUCUUUUUCCUUUUCAUAACUGAUGGAUGUGAAUGAUAGGAGAACAAUGCCCUUUUUAUUUUCUCCUAAGGAAGGAUCCUCUCUUGGAUGAGAGCUCCUGGGUUGUUUUGUUCAGAGCUUGUGUAGAAAUGUAUGGAAAGAUGGUAGAAGUUUGUGGAAACUAUGUUGGGUGGUGGAAUUUCUGGCCAGGGAGAAAUAUCCCUACCUAAAAUACCUGAAGCGGGGAUGAGUUGAGUGGUCACCUCAGAAAAGAGAAACUGAAGCUGCAUCACAACUGUAGAUUGAAACGCACUUUUCUGCAUGCUUACAGUAGAUCAAUUGCUCUUCUCCUCUUGCACCUUUCUCACAUCAUAUGGGUAUCUCAAUAACCAUUGAGCAGGGAGAAGGUAGAAAAGAGCUUUCGUUCCUUUCUCUCCUCUUCUUCCUUGUUCUCUGUCCCCACUGAAUGUCUGCAAGACCAUGAGGUUAGAGCUUUGCAGAACCAGCUUUUGAAAUGUCCUGAAAUGAUAACCAUUUCCUACCCAGCCCUACCCCUCCUGGGGGGGCUUGAGCUGCCGCAGGGGAUUUGCAGGAUGUGGGUACCUCUGUGUAUCCAAACGCCUGCUUCUCACAAAGAAACAUUUCUGUUCCUCUGACACUGUUUUUGUGUCACAGUGAUCAUUUUUCAUUUUUAAAGGCCGGCAUUCCCUUCAACUAUCAACUUGCCACUCCUUUCGUGUGAUGUAUUGGGGACCCUUUGGGGACUUCUGUGAAUACCAGAGAUUGCCUUCAAAGAAACUGCGUUUUUCCUGUUUUACCUGCUGGCUCUCAUCACUUGCUCUUCAACCUAAAAAAAUCCCUAACCCCAUGAGAAGGAAACCAGACAGUGUUCCGCCACCAGGAUAAGAUGCUAACUGUACCUUACACUGCCAAGCCUGCAAAACAUGAAUUCAAUCCCAAUUUAAAGUUGUUUUUAAACACUUAGGCUGCCUGCACAGCUCACAGAAAAUCUCGUUUGUCUGGUUUACAUGUCUCUUGGUGUUUGUUCCACUUCAUCCUGCAGUGUCCUCUUGUCUGUCUGCUCUUGGCAAGAGAAGCUGCCACUUCAUAAGCAUUAGAGAUGGGCUUCUCACACUGUAGACUUACAAAUAAUAAUAGAAACCAAUAAUGUUCAUACUGUAAAUGCGAGUUAAGAAACAGCUGUAUGUGGAAGAAGUAUUCAUAUUUUAUGAGAAUCUCUGUGCAGUCAGUGAGGUACACACAUAGCUGUGCUGAACAGGUGAACAAAUAGAAAUUUAGGCUACAAAUACCAUUUCCUAAACAGGAGUAGGGGCCUGCUUGCUUUUCCAGAAUCAUUCUGGUUUUGAACAUGGAGAGAGGCGAGGAGCUCAGAAGGGUGCAUGCGGGAAUGCAGGUGUGUCUUCAGGUUGCAUAUCAGGGACAUGAAGAGCGUCCCCAGGGCAGCAGGCACAGCCCUGAGCUGCUGGAGUUCAAGAAACGUUCGGACAGCUUUCUCAGAUACAUGGUCUGAUUUUUGGGUGGUCCUCUGUGGAGCCAGGAGUUGAACUCAGUGAUCCUUACGGGCUGCUUCCAACUCAGGAUAUUCUGUGAUUAUGUUCUUUUCAGUGAAUCUUAACAGUUAUUUUCCUUAUAAACAUGGUGUUACACACAAUCAAAAGAUGUUAAAAUGUGUCAUAUUAAUGACCUGCUUCAUAUUCAAGUUUCGUUCUGGCAUUCCGUUCUCAGCCACUAAUUUGAGUAACAUUUUAUUCACACUUGUUAACCGUCAGGAGACUCUAACUCAGUAGAAGUGGAUAUUCAUUGAUUUCCCUUUGAUAAUGAAUUGAUACAACACUAAAAAACAUUGUCAGCCUUCCUGUACCUGUUGCAGUACCUGAAAAGAGUGUGUCAUGUAGGCCAGACACUUCAUAUCUGACAAGGAUUCCUUGGGGGGAAUUCUUGUGUUUGAUUUUAGUGGAAUAAAUGAGCCCCGAAAAGAGCCAGUUAAAGUAUGAGACCACGAGAGCAUGCUAAUGUAUCUGCCUAAUUGUUUCCAAAACCUCUCCAGAAUGCUGCCUAUGGUCCAGGACUCUCCUCCAGUUAGCAGCUGAAGCCUUCAAAGACUCAGGAGUGUUACCACAGGGGAAAAAAUAGUAGGGGAGCAAACAGCAUAGCCAACACUCCUAAAUCUGAUUGAUUGACCAGCUUGUCUCCUUCUCUCUGUCAACCUAAACCAUGUCAAACUGCAUUAGAUCUUCACAAUAAGAGCAGCCAUCACCUAUCACAGGAACAGGCUGCCCAGAGAACUUUUUGGGUGCCCCAUCCCUAGAGGUACUCAAGGCCAGGUUGGAUGGGGCCCUGGGCAGCCUGAGCUGGUGGGGUGCAGCUCUGCCCAUGACAGGGGUUUGGAACUGGAUGGUCUUUGAGGUUCCCUCCAACCUAAUCCAUUCUAUGAUUUUAUGAAUGGAAAGCAAGCAGCAGCUGAGUAUGCAUCUUUGGAGGAAACUGGAAAGAUUUUGACCCCUAAAGUCUGUUGAGGGUCCUGUUGUGUUUUUUUUUAACUCUGCUGGAAAUCUUGAUGGUUGGAACACACCCAGUUUGUUUUUAGAGCUGUCUGGGGAGUUGUCUGGAUGUCAAUGAAAUUUGUAAUGGCAAUGGCACAGAGGAACCCAACAAAAACAGUGUUAAAGGAGGGAUACUCAAGCAUGAAGAAUCAUUUUGAAUGACUUGUUUCUGCAUCAUCCAACCAGACCUGUUAGACAUGGGGAAGCUUCAAAUUCGGGCUUUUCCUUUAGACUGCAAAAUGUAAAAUCUGUGUCUAUGGAUGUGCAUGCAUGUGUAUGCAUCAUGGGGACUGAAGCAGAAAGCCUCAUGUGUGACCUACUGUGGGGAACCUGCUUCAGCUGGGAGUUGGUAUAGAUGAUCUCCAGAGGACCCUUCCAACCUCUUACAAUUCUGUGAUUGUGUUGUUUGGUCCAACUGUUAGCUGAAAUGGACACAGGGAGUGAUCCAUAUGAUUCAACUCCUUGCAGCUCUGCUGUGGGGAUGCUCUGCUGGGUGCUGGAGCAAGGUGGGAGCACAACAUAUGAUCCAUGCUCAUGUCUGAAGCAAGAUAUAUGGAGGCUGACUUUGCAGUGUAGGUCAUUGAGCAGUGGCAACUUUCAAAGGCUGCAAGGUGAUGAUCUGAGCCCCAUUCAGAGCGUGGAUUCAGUCCUGUGAGGGUGGGAGAGCACCAUGCUGGAGCUUGUUGACCUUAUUGGGAAUCUCAGUGCACUCAGUAUCUCCAAACUGAGUGAUAGGUACUCAGCAGUACUGUCGUAGCACAUGUUCCUUGGUGCUGCCAUCGAGGCUUCUCAUGUGCAGCAGUCCUUCUUUAGUGACAUUACUAAUUGGAGGGGAAAAACAGCAUGAGGCUAUAACACAAUGUAAAUGUCAGAAUUUGGACAUGGUGGACUUAUUUCUGCACAGGGAAGAAGGUACUGGAGGGGCAUCUGGAGGGACUUUGCAUCUGACAGCCCCAAGUUGUGAUCUGAAGUAAUUCUAGGACAAAGCCAUGUCUUAGUUAAUCAUGUAAGACAGUUCUGAGAGUGGGGGUAGGGGAUAGCCUGCUGCUCCUCGUAUUGAUCAGGAAUUAAUGUCUAACCUUUAAAAAUGCAGUGUAGAAGCUGAGUGAGAUUGUGAAACCCUACUUUGUGCUGUCUGCGAUCAGUUACCUCCGGGGACCCGCAGAGCUCAGGCUGCUGAUUACAGAUGCAUUUGGAAAAACCUGAAUUUUCAAUUUUUCACAUGAAUCUCAUAAAGUGAAACUGAGUCCUGCUGGGAUUUAUGAAAACUGGUUUGCUCUCCACUGCAUGCAAUACAUCUCCUUUGCUAAGUUGGGAGAGCUCCGACAGGAGAGGCACCACAAGAAUUAUUCCACCCUCAGCAAGUUAAUUGCUGCAUCGUCAAGUAGUACAGAAUCCAUCCUGUCCCUUCUGCUUUCUCUCUCUUCUCCCCCCUGUUCCUCUCCAAGAGCUGACGUGUGAUGUCUUUUAUUUUUUUCUCCUUCUUGCCAUCUGUUUCGUGUUUGUGACUUGGGGAGGGUGGGUGUGUGGUAGUGGAGCUUGUGAUGGAGUUUGCUGGUGGAGGCAUUUCUUUCACUCAGUUAAUUAGAUUUGUGUUUUCCUUACUCCCAGUUCUAAGGGCCAUGCAAAUAAGACUAAAUUAUGCAUUAGCUAUAUACCCCAGUGUUUUAAAUGCUCCUGUUGUUGGGGGACACCGACUCUAUCCCAUAUUCCUCCCUUUCAUAGAAUUCAAUUAUAUUUAAACUAUUAACAGGGAAAGUCUAAAAAUUCUAUUAAAAUGUCAGUUUAAUAAAUCUUCCAAGGUUUAAUCUUUCAUUUCUGGACCGGGGGAAGGGGAGGAUGAAUUAUGACAAUUUUAAGUUUUCCCAGAGCAGCCCCUGCAUGUUAAAUUGUCUGUAACUCUCAGCAUUACAGAACUUGUCUCUAUUUGUAAAACAAUUUCAAGCAAUGGGAGGGUGCCCAGGUUUUGUUGUGAAACAUGUGGUGGCUGGGGGAAUUUGGACCCGGGCUUUUGGUUUAAGCCAUUACAGAGAAACAAGAGAAACAGAGCAAUUCACGUCCACUCUGGAGACCAUCUCCCAUCCCUCUGCUGGCUCUCCAAGAUAAGGAUAUCUGGUUCUAUACCUGUGAUUGGCACUCAGCAUUCAUACUACACAGAUCAUUGUCAUCUUUCAUUCUCUCUUCCUCCAUAUGCACCUGUGGAGUACCAAAGUGGGACCCCAUUGGGCUGAGAGCUGUGGGAACAGCUUAUGUAAGGAAUGCUCAGGUUGGAUAACAGGGAAAGGCUCUGUGCCAGAAGGCAUUGAGCUACCCAGGGCACCACCCUGAGCCGUGGGAACCCAAUGAAGGUUUGGACAACACUCCUAGUCAUAUGGUCUGAUUUUUGGAUGGUCCUGCAUAGGUUGGACUCACUGAUCGCUAUGGGUUCCUUCUAACUCAAUCACAGAGUCAUCGUAGAAUGGCCUGGGUUGAAAAGGACCACAAUGCUCAUCCAGUUUCACCCCCCCUGCUAUGUGCAGAGUUGCCAACCAGCAGACCAGGCUGCCCAGAGCCACAUCCAGCCUGCCCUUGAAUGCCUCCAGGGAUGGGGCAUCCACAACCUCCUUGGGCAACCUGUUCCAGUGCCUGUUCCAGUCACCACCCUCUGUGUGAAAACUUCCUCCUAAUAGCUAACCUAAACCUCCCCUGUGUCAGUUUAAUACCAUUCCCCCUUGUCUUAUCACUAUCCACCCUCAUAAACAGCUGUUCCCCUUCCUCUUUAUAUGCUCCCUUCAAGGUUAACUUGGGUUAUUCUAUGACUCUUUCCUUUCCACCUGUGUGCUGUACUUCAGCCCUGACUGAAUGCCAAAACCGUGUCUCCUAUGUUUUCUUCAGCUCACCCUUGAUUUGAAGCUGUUCCAGUGUCUAGCACACAGGAAGCUUUCUACUAUCUCCUCUCAGCAUUCCUGUGCUUGAAAUCAGGACUCAUUUAUGACCAUAUAAAGAGAUGGCAAUGUUUCAGCCCAAACAAAGAAAAUCUAGCUCUUGGUCUUGCAUCUCUACAUCUGUAGCACAGAGGAUGCAAGCAAGGUGGGUUUUUGGAUACCCAAGACAUGAACAGAGCAUCCAGGAUUGCCCUGUGAUGAGGCUGCUCCUUCCAGUUAAAGAUUCAAAAGCAGAACAGCAACUUGUGUGGGGUAGGAAGAGGCCUGUCAUCUGGUCCAACACCCCUGCUACGAAAAUGGACACUUAUAGCUCCAUCAGGUGCUCAGAGCCUCAUCCAAACUGACCUGGAGUGUCUCCAGGGACGGGACACCCACCCCCUCUCUAGGCAACCUGUGCCAAUGUCUCGCCACCCUCCUUAUAUGUCCUCCUUAUAUCCAGUCUAAAUCUCCCUUCUUUUAGUUUGAAAUCAUUUCCCUGUGUCCUAUCACAACAGACCACCUUGCAUGAGAGUGUGAGAGGCAGGUCCGGCCUAUGAAAACAGGUUGUGAUUUUUGCUGGCUGUGCAGGCAUUGCUCAUGUGCUGAGGGCAGAUCCAGGAGUGGGAGCUAAACCACUGAAUGUGGGCUCUUCCAAGAAUGCACACUGAGAAGCAAAAUAUGUCCAUCUGUGGCAUGGACAGAGGCUGCAGUCAAUGCAUUUGAGAAUACUGCAUAGGUUUCCCCAACAACUGGGGAGCAACUCUUGGUGGGGAGCCUUGCAUUGCUCCCCAAAAUGGAAGCGCCUGGCACAGCACACAGAAAGUCCAACUCCUCAUCGUGAUUCCUUCUUGCAACCACAUUUUCAACUUCUCUCUGAUGUUUAAGCCCAGGAGAGUGAAAUUGCCACAUCCCAGCCCCGGGAAUAGAGAAAGUCAGUGACUAGCAAGAAGGGUCUAAAAGUUCUCGGUACCUUCUGGAGAGAAAGAGGAGAAAAACAAUUUGAUCCAAUGGCUUGGUCAGCCUGACUGCAGAGAUUAGCUGAUGUCAGGCUGUAGGGAAAGCGUGUGGGGUGCAGUGCUUUGUUUGGGUGAAUAAACCAUGCAUGUUCAUGGAAUAUUAAUUAAUAAUAAAUGAACACGCAUGAAUUAUUCAUGCUCACAAAAGCAAAUUUGCCUUGAAGGCAUAACACAAGACAGGUUUUAAGAUUUUUUUUUUCCUUUUUUUCAAACUGGGGGACGGAUUUGUAUAGAGCAUAACCGAUUGGUGGUAAUUUGCAUCCAAACACAGUGUGACUGUCACAGCCCCUGCUCAGCCACUGUAUCUCAGCACGCUGCACAGGCGCUCCCACUCCCACUAAUGCUAUUUUAGUCAUUCAUUUGUCUUCCAAGUUGCAUAGAGGGACCUACUUGCUCUGAAUCCCAUUUGACUCCAGCAGGCCAAAAGCGCUCCCCUGGGGUAAUGCUGCUGCUGUUGCAACAGGGAUGGAUUUGUCCCCUCACGUUUGUUCUGCUGACAGAUUUGUUCCACCAGCGUGUAGUGCAGAUGUCUCAUACAUGAUGCAGGAUGUCAGGUAUGAUUUGAAGCAGCGAGCAGACACAGGAAAUGCUGCUUCUGUGUUUUAAUUCGAAAUUGUGCUAAAGAUGCCAUAAGAACCUCUUGCUCUGCCAGUGUUUGUUCUUCUUGUCAAAAAAAACAAAACCUGUAAAAUGAAUUUCGAUAAAAUAAUGUCUUUGUGUCUUGAUGAAGAGCCACCAUGCCAUUGGAGGCUGCCCAUGACUUUGGGGAUAUCUUGACUCUGCUUUGAGCUUGUGUUCACCGACCAGAAAUGGCUUUCUGCCCAUUAGGAGCUGCAUGUGGGACAAGUGUCACCCUGCGGCUGUCGUGUUGUUUGCUGGACUCUGUAGUUGCUGACUUGCAGGGACCAGUGGUGUAAUGGGCUGAAGCAAUGCACAGAAAUAUGAGCGAGCAUCUUGUCAAGUUCCUGGUUCUGCUUCUGGUAUUUGAAGUGAAAUGCAAAGAUGUUCAGGUCAUCAAAGAUUCUUGGGCUGCCAUCAUAAAAUCAUAGAACGGCUUGGGCUGGGAGGGACCUCAAGGAUCAUCAAGUUCCAACACCCCUGCCACAGGCAGAGCCACCAACCUCCAGAUCUGGUAUUACACCAGGCUGCCCACCAUCCAACCUGCCUUGAGCACCUGCAGGGAUGGGGCACCCACAGCUUCUCUAAGCAGCAUUGCAAGUGCCUCACCACCUUCUCACUGAAAAAUGUCCCCUGACAUCUCACCUAUCUCCCCUCUUUUAGUUUAAAACCAUUCUUCCUUGUCCUAUCACUGUCUAUCUGUGUAAAAUGUUGAUUUUCUUCCUGCCUAUUAGCUCCCUUUAUAUAUUGGAAGGCCACAAUGAGCCCUCCCCUUUAUCAUCCAGGCUUAUGCUGAGAUAUGUCCCCCAUCUAUCCACAUCAUCAUAUUAGUGCCUAUCCAGAAUCUCAUACUAUGCCUUUCCUUAAAGAUGUGGGCAAAAUGUGGAAGCUGGACCUUGCUUCCUGCAUGGUGGGUGCACUGCAGCUCUCUCUGGGUGAUAAAACCUGUCCCUAAUAUUCUUCCCAGCUGUCUGGGUGGUGCAUGUUUGUGACACGGUGGCUGAAGUCCUUAUUUUGGGUGAUCUGCUGGGGAAAGGGCUGCUGACAGCUCCAAAAUUGGGUCAGGACCUGUGGAAGAGGAGAACGGUUUGAAGAUUUGCUGGGUGCCUCCGGGGGGCUGGCAGGGCAGGAGAAAUACGGUGUUUGUCAGCCUCCUGGACAUCAUUUCAUGGGAAAACUUAAAGGAAUGUUAAAAAUAGAGGUGAGAUCCCCAGACACAGCUCAGGUCUGCUAUGAAUCUGGCCUCAAACCAUUAAAAUGAUCUUAAACUCCUUUUUAUUUCUUUUCCUAUUUUUCCCCCCAGAAGCCUGCACUGACUUCCUCAGCUAAUAAAGAUUGGGGCCAUAAACUCUGCUGUGUUGUCCCAGCAAGGCCGUUCCUUUUGCUAAGCUUCUUCCUCCUGUCUUCAAGUUCCUGUUACUACAGUUUUAGUUUCUACAUUUGCAGCAAUCUUUCGUUGCUGAGCUGCUGCAGUUUGAUCCCUGCUUUUUAUCCUGAUUCCAUAACAAACAUGUUGUAAAGCCUCUGCUGCUGGUCUGCAGACGGUUUUUCCAGGAAAAGUGUUUCAUGUAUUACAACUUAAAACACGGGUGGAUUUAUUAGGAUUUAAUGUAUUGGGAGCUAAGCCUUUGGUCUCCCUUUUCAUAUGGUGGCGGAGGCAGACAGAUGGGAGUGAUCUGAGUAAUUUAUAUGUUAAGAAGUAAUAAUCUUUGCAGCCAUUUUAUCUGCCCAAAUGCUUUUACCUUUGAUCUUUCUGUUUUCGAGAAACACCUUGUGUUUUUUUUCCAUACUUCUUCGCCUGCCAAAGACAAACAUCUCUGAAGACUCCUUUGAGCAUUUCCCUCAGCUGAGGAGAAGCGAUGUCUGAUUGUCACUGCCCCAUCCAAAUGCCUCCACACUUAGCUGCAAAACUUCUUGGUAUUUAAGGGCAGAACAGCCAAGGGAAAAAUGCUCUCCAGAGCUUGAAAAGUGCAUUGUCCUCUCGCAAUGGAAAUCUGUAGCCCUAGGUCUCGUGGUAUUUAGAAGUCAGUAGAUUUACUAAUUAACGUUGCUCACUCAAUUAAAAAGCCCUUGAUCUGAGCCCACCAAUGGAUUUUUGGUAUCUGUAAAAAUCUUUGCCUUGUGUCUGAAGAUUUAGCGAUUUCUUUCUUUACUUUCAGACCAAGGCUCAGUGGGAGGAGACACGGGUCAACAAAAUGAGCUUUGGUGCUCCACUGCUCUGGCUGCAGAGGCUGUCCUGGGCUGCAGCUGGGAAGGGGCUUAACUGCAAUAAUUUACUAGGCGAGGUAAUUACUGGAUUAAGGGUGAGUGUUGUAGCACUGGGGGAUGGCACUGACUGAAGAUAAGGUUCUGUUAGAAGAAGGCAGUAGGGCCAGAGGAAGAGUGGCAAAGUCAUUCAUGAUGCCUCUUUUUGAAAUGUCCCACAGCUUGGGGAAUGAGGCAGAUGCCAGCUAAGUUUUACUUUAUUCUAUUUGGGCUAUAUCCAAGGAAGCUAGGAAGAGAAAUAUUUUUAUUUCACCAGGGUAAAGACUAUCAGUACAACACUGCCUCUCUUUCACCUCUUGCUAUAUAUAUGUGCUCGCAAGAAGGCUCUUCACAGCCCACUUUGUUUGUGUGUUAAUUGUUUUCUCUGUCUGGCACUUUUCAUCUGUUGAGUCUAUUGUUGUUGUUUUCCAGUGGUAAAUUCAAGCUGAGCAUCACAUGAACUGGUCUUGUUUUUUAUGGGAAAUUCAAAUAAAGUUUUCUCCAUAAGAAAAACCCCUGAAGUGACAGACUAGAUAAAGACAUUUUAUCCUAAGAACAUAAGCACAGCAUGAUGCACAGAUCUCUUGAGUUGACAGAAGCCCAGCUCUCUGUAGCAUUAAGGCUUAUUUCAGGGACUUCCUUAAGAAAUUUAGGCCCAUAUAUGCCCUCCAUUUAGAAAUCUCUUUUUCUCUUGCAAGGUUCACUAUCUUGCUGAAGUCAUGAGCCAUAAUAAAAUCUCUGAUCAUGCUCCUUUUUUUAGAAAUGCUUCCAUCAUCAUUUGUAGUACAUUCCUUCAUACUUUGCAGCAUGGACAUCCAUUGCACCCACCAUGCAGACACAGCAACUGUAUGCAUGAAGGUAUGCAAUGCCAAUGCUUCCCAUGUACCUCUACAGCCUUCAGAACUCACGGUGAUGAAAUUAUUCCCAUGGUGUUUAUCAUAGAAUCAUGGAAUCAUUAAGAUUGGAAAGCACCACUAAGAUCAUCAAGUCCAACCACCAACUCAUCAUCCUCAUGCCCUCUACACCCCCGUGCCCUUCAUUUCCUCUGAAGCCUCCAGCUUGGAGCACUGAGAGUGGCUGGGAAGAAGGGCAUUUCUGCUUUGCCUUUGUCUGCAUCUGAGAUCUGUAGGCAUAAACACGAUCUGUGCUCCUUCACACACAGCACUCCUAGAUAAUGGGAAAAAUAAGUGGAACCACGAGUUAGUCACCCUCAUACCUUCUAAACUCCUGUGCCCAUUAUUUUUUCUGAAGUCUUUGCCCAUAGCAAGGAGUUUGGAGCUAGAUGAUCUUUGAGGUUCUUUACAACUCAAGCCAUUCUGUGAUUCUAUGAUUUACCAAGCAGUGUCAUUGCAGAGCUUAUCUGCCAUGUACAUGGAACUGCCCAACGUUGAGGUGGGAAGGAGAUAGAGGUGAAAUCCAUCAGGAGCAGAGUGGCUGGAAGGAAAGGCAAAGCUCUGAAAUCUCAGUUCUAAAACCGAAGUGAAAGGGUAGGCGAGGUGUGAGCAGCCCAUGCCUCCACAACACGUCUCCCACCUGGUUUCCCCCUCAGUGGCUGAGCUCUGAAAACCUCUUGGGAAAACCAUCAGCCCUGGGAGGCUGCGUGGGUUUAAAGUCGAGAAAUGCAGUUCAGAGAUGAUUCUCUUUUGCUUGCCAUGCAGUUGUCUUUUUUUUUCUAUGCUUCUCGAUUGGAGCGGAUGUGACUCGUCUCAUCAAAUUGGCAUCCGCAGGGUAGAUGCUGAUUUCAGCAGCAGUCACCCAGGGCUCCCGAACGGACUGCAGGGAUUGAGCCAAGGCAGCUGAAGGAGUCCAGGGCAUGAUUCAUCUCUGCUUCCACUCCACGUCUAAAAUAGGUCUGGAAAGUUCAGCUCAGAAAGUGCCGAUUUUUCUCUGCUGGCUGUGAAAGAUGCUGACGGUGGUCAGCUCAGCUGUAGUCCCCGUUGUGGACAUCCAUGUCAUCAGGUGGAUCCUAUCCAAAUGGUUCCUGGAUGGGUUUUUGAGCAGUGCUCAGCACAUGGGGCAUGUCUUUGGUUGCUGCAGAUGUGCCUUUAGUGUAAAUAAUACCAACAUGCUCGAGGACACAUAUUCUCCCUUAUUAUUCCACCUCCAUGUACAUACACUUACGUCUACCACAGGUUGAUCCAUAUUUGCUAAUAUAAGAAGACUAAGGGUAGGGGGGCCGGGUGGGUGAGCGUGCAGUGCUUGAUAUGAAUAGGGUGAGAUAGGCUGAUAUCAUCAGACAACAGCAUUUCUGCAUCCUGAUUGAUUGAGGUGCUCUGUUUCCACAUUAACUUGCAAUAAAGUGCUCUCUCAUGCCGAUACGCAUUCAUCAUGUGCAAUUGUGGAGACUGUUUAUAACUUAAUUUACUCCGAGGUAAUGAUGAUUAUAUCUAAAUAUUUAUGGAGAGGUCAGUGCAAGUAAAUUUCUCAGUAAUUCUGUUUUGCUUUUCUUUUCUUUCUCUUUUCUUCAGCCAGCCAAAUUAUCUCAAUGCUCCCUACAGACCUUCUGCUAAUUCCUUUGUUUGCAGUGACAGUUAGUGGAAAAAGAAGGCUGAUUAACUGCAGGCUGCCUCUGUGCCGAGCCAGCCAAGUCUAACCAGAGGUGUAUGGCUCGUCUCUCCCUUUUAAUUUUGAACUGCAGGAAAGUCAUGGGCCAGAGCUGUCUAUUAGAAUAUAUCUAAAUCAUGCAUGUGUUUGUGUGUGCUAGCAGCACAAGCUUCACACCAGUGCUUUCACAAUUGAUGCUCUCUGCAGUUGUGAAAGUGGGCAGCACUACGAUGGGAGCACUGGUUGUUCUUCCUCUGCCGAUGAUUUUUUCAGUUCAGACCAUAACUGAUCAUCUUUGAGGUGGAUUAUAUACACCUUAGAGUGCCGGUUAAUUUCGGAGUGUGGGCAUUUCCCCAUUUCUUCUAUUUGCUCUUUGUGCUUUUUAUCUCAUAAGACACACAGCACCACGGAGGUUCCAUCGCUUCUGAUGGGAUUUAGCCCUGUGGAGCUGUGGUUUGUAGGCAUCUCACAGCCUCUCUGCUGAUAUGAGGGCUAGAUGAGCUGGAAUUCAUCUCCCAGAAAUUCCUGGAGGCAACAUGGAAAAUGGACCACUGUGUUAUCUCAGAGAGAAUAGGAAUUCCACGAUAUUGAUAUGAAAGAGCUGAGAGGAUGUUUCAUUUUGAUAUCCUACAAGAAACAUCUGUUGAGCACCAUGCUUCUUGGCUCUCCUCACCCCAAACACAGAGCUCCAAUACAUCACCACCUUCUUUUCCUUCUCCUCUGUUGGCCAUGUUCAUUGUCUUUGUGUAGCUCUGAGUGCUGUGCUUGGUGCAGAACUGGUUGCUAUUCGUAUGCUCCCACCCAUCAGUGCUCCAUGUGACUUUUAAGACCUCCCCUCACCCUACCUUAACUGCUCCUUGUCUUUGCCUUUGACUUGUUGGUAUCCUUCACACACGCUCCACAGUUUCUUCUGCUUUUACCUUUUCUCAGUUGUAUUUUCCCUGGAGGAGCAGUAGAAGCCCAGCCACCAUGCAUUCCCUGUGCUACACCAUGCCAAAGGGAUACCAAAACUCAGUGACUGGAGCCAAAUGUUUGUUCCAUGUAUCUGUGCAUCAGUGAUUUGGGGGGUUUGCAGCGCUGGCUGAAACGCGCAGGCCAGCUGCCUGCCGGUGGCAGCAGGAAAACAGGCAGACAAAGCAGAUGGACCCAGCAGGGGUGGAGGAGCGCUGUCUUCAGCGGGCCAUAGGCAUCACUGAAGAGUAAACAGCUCUCCGAAGGGAGCCGGGAGCUAACCCCAAACCCAUCCUCUCCAAAGCACUCAAUCACAGCACAUUAACAAGAGCGCCUGGACUGCUGGGGGAGAGUAAACAAUGAGAGGCCUUGCUGGCGGGAGAGUGGGAAAAGCGCAGCCCCCCUCCAGCUCAUAUUUAUUGUAAGAGGGUGUAAAAAGUGGCUCGUGGCUCAGCAUGCUGUCAGCGAGCCGCGCUCGUUGUCAGUGCUCAUCUUGUAGGAAAGCCGCCCUUUGCCUUCGUGGGUUGAGUGGGUGCCUGCGCGCUGCUGGACACGCAGGGAUGCUCAGCGAGGCCAGGAGGCAGCAGCAGAAGUGAGAGGCGAAACCUUCCCUCCCACAGGCGAAUGUGCUUCGAUGCUUGCCCUAAACCAGGCAGGGGUAGCAUCGGGGCUACCGCUCCUUCCAACCACAGCCACUCAAGUGAGCCGCCUGUUUGGAUGAGGGAAGCGUGUUGGGGACCCAGCGCUACUGUCCAGAGCAGGAGGGGGAGAUCUCCUCCUGUCCAUACCAGUGUGACUUCCUUGGUUUGAGAGCGGCUUCUGAUUUAUGCCCAGGGGCUGGAGCCCGCUCACCGGGCGCUGCUCUUUCAUCUGCAACGUUGCAGAGAAAUUUGUUUACAGAGCUCUUGGCGCGCUCACAGAUUCUUUCUCCCCUUCCCCCUUUUCCUCCAAAUCAGCUACAGUUUUCCCUCUCCCUUGGCUCCCGCUGCAAAACCGAUUGACCUUUCUGGGCUGUGUCUGACACAUGAACCGUGCAAAAUCCUUUCUUCUCCCCGAGCCCUGUGCUUGCUUGGGAACGUGGCUGCCUGGAGGAGUGCAAACAGGAGCCCUCCAGCAGCCCUUUGCUGCAUUUCUGAGGGCUGCUUUGCUUGUAAUGCUGCGCAUCCUUGAGAGUGGGUGGCUGUGUGUGCUGUGGCUGAGCUCCCCAGUGCUCUUUGCAAACACUGAUGAUAGGAUGAGGAGGAAUGUCCUCAAGUUGUGCCUGGGGAUGUUCAGAUUGGAUACUAAGAAAAACUUUGUUCCAAAAGAGUGGUGCUGCAGUGGCACAGGCUGCCCAGGGAGGUGGUGGGGUCACCGUCCCUGGAGGUGUUCCAGAACCAUGGAGAUGUGGCACUGAGGGAUAUGAUCAGCAUUGUGGGAUGGGUUGAUGGUUGGACUUUUUCACCCUUAAUUAUUCUAUGAUUUCUAUGAUUCUAUGCCACUGUUGUGUUCCAGCGCUACUGAAUUUCAGCCAAAGUCUGAAAAUUUCUGAUCCAGUUGUUCCCUGCUCCCAGUGGGAUGUAUCCACAUGGAAAUAGCAAAAGGACAUUUUUUUUUCUCAUCAGGAACACUCAGCAGAGCACUUGUAGGGUGCAGAGAGCUGAUCUUACUAGCUUUGUGGUAGUAGCUUUGUGAUUUAACCUGGAAAAAGAGUUGUCUGUGCUUGGCCCAUUGAGCCACAGAAGAGAUAACAAAAGCCACCAAUUUGUCAUAAAUAUAGAAUAUAGUUCUUUUUUUUUUUUUUUUUUUAAAUUAAAUCUAGUGGUUGGCCAACCUGCCCACGGGGAUUGAAAUUAGAUGAUUUUUUUUAAGGACCCCUCCAACCCAGGUCAUUCUGUGAUUCUCUGAUUCUCUGACUGAUACUUUCUACCUCUCUUGAGGGUAAAGAAGCAUGGUGGAAGGGACAAGUGGUCUGGUGGCCUGGCUGAGAUAAUCUCUGCAGCCAUUUCCAAAGGCUUACAUCAGUCUGCUGUGAAACCAAAGCACUCUUUAAUCCUUCCUGAGCACAUGUUGAACCUGGGCCGUUGGGCCACAUAUUGACUCAGGUUCAGCUUUGUUGUGUUGCUCAUCUGUGCUGCAAGAGAGGGGUUCAGAAGCAGCUUUCCAUUGGCAGCAGGUGGAAAUUGAGCUGUUCUUCAAUCGUGCCAGUGACUGCUAAAGCUGACCUUAUCCUGUCUGUCUUGUAUUUUAAAAGCUGGAGUUUGAGGCAGGUGAAAACAUACAGGUGUUUUCUUCUUCUUGUCUAAAGUAGCUGUGUUAUAUGCCUUGGUGAAACCUGAGCUUAAUUCACCUUGGCCAUAACAUAUCAGAGGAAAUAUCAACAGUAUAAAUCAUAGCAAACACGAGGAUGGAGCUCUGAGAAAGUGCCAAAGUGGCCAAGAAUACAUUAAUAAUGAAGGCUGCUCUGGCUCAGUUGCAAGACAAAAAGGUCCCAUCUGUACAAAAAGGCAUCAAAUUGCCCCAGAAAAGAAAACCAUGCAAGCUGAGCCUUCUCUGAAACUCAAAGCACAGGGAUCCUCUGGGGAACCCAACCCUGUCUGGGUGGUACUCAGCAAGGGGAGCUCUCCUGGACCAGGCCAUACCCUCGACCCAUUCCCACACUCGCGAAUGUCAGCAGAAGAUUUUCACGAGAUUCAGGGAGAGCAGUGAUGUAACUCAACGAUGGGAUCUCCCCCCUUUCUCUGGAAAAAAAUAAGUCUUCAAAUUGAGUAAAAUAUAAAAGCGCUUUCUUAGCUUAGGCCUCCUACAAGUGAAUUCCUCUGGUGCCAGUGAUGGGCUCCUAUUCUCCCUGGGAAAUACAUCAAUUUGAUUUUCUCCCUCAAAGGAUUCGUCACUGAAAGACAACACCACCCUCUUCCACCCAGCUUUUCAGUUGCCUCCAGGUGCUUGGGGAAUACCAGUGAAAGGAGCCGCUCCUUGCUUCUUUUCCUUCCCCUUUUAUUUCUCAUGAUUGCUUCCUCUCUGAUCUUUUUUUUUUUUCCCCUUGAAAGAACACCUUCCUUCCCACCGACUGCACUGCCUGCUGUGGCUCAGCAUGUCCCAACAUCCGUCCUGGCAGCCGUCCCUCCCUUCCAAUCUGAUUCCUCUAUAUUUUCAUUAUUUGUUGAAUAAAAUUACUGAUAGCAGCAACAGAGCCCAAGUGCAUAGACCAUGCUGCAGGGUGGAUGCAGAACUGCACUCUUGAUGUAACUGUAGAAUAAUUCCACAUCUGCAGCAGAGAGUGGCAGAGCCCCUGUCACUGUUUCUAUGGGACUGCUGGUGAUGGGCAGCUCUCCUUGUGGUGUGAUGAAUAUUCAGCAGCCCCCCAUCUCCCCUGGACACUGAAAGAGUUCACUCAGGUGGCUGACAAGAAAUGUGGUGGACUCCAAGCAUGCCCUGAUGUUUUCAUCCCUGAUGUUCCCCUUCUGUCUCCCCUAGGGUUUAACCUCUGUGACACCAGUUUUUCUCCCGUGACCAAAUACAUGCUCCUGAAUUUGGGGAGGAUGCAUGUGUUUAUCAGAGUUGUGUGAAAUGCUCUACUUCUUCCUUGCAGGAGGACAGAAGAGGAAAUGGUUUGUUUUGAAGAUGUGCCAUGAUAGGCAAUUCAUGCUUGCUUAUGUUUUCACACAUGCCAGCUUGGAUAACUUGGGUGGAAAACUGAAGUGAAGCAAAGUCCUCAGCCUCUCAUAGCUUUGGCAGCAGUCACCAGUGGCCUCCUAGAGCUGAGCUGUUGGAGAGCAUCUUGACCCCAACCCAAGGGCUGGAGGUGACUGCUACACUGCUGUUUUAGGGAUCUUGAGUACUCUAAGUGUUUUAUUUCCUAAAGCAAACAAAAAUGCUGCUCCCAUCUGCCCUUCAGAGGCACUUAGGAGGCAUCCGAGUAAGCUCUUAGUUUUGGGAAUGAGUUUGCCUUCUUCCCUGAGAUAUGAUAGCCUGCAACUCAGGAGGAGUUCAUGGAGCAUGCCAUAUUCCUGACUGCCCAGGAGCGUUCUAUCAGCCCAUUGCAGGCCUGAUACUGGAUUAAGGACAAAAGCUUUCCAGCCAGCAGUAGGGAUGCAUGAAGUUUCGUCUGUGAAAGACCACAGAACACUUUGGGGUUGUUGGAAGAUGGGUUUUGUAUGCAGCACAUCCCGCAUUUCAAUGCUGCUUUCCAGAGCUGUUUGCUAGCAAAUUGCCAGGAUUUGAAAUUCAGGUAGGUUGCAGGAUGAAAAAAUACCCUUCCCACAUUGCUAUGACCUUUUUGGUGGUUUAUUUGUUAAAGGCAUUACUGUUCCCCUCGGGAAUGGUGCCUUCCUCUGUUUUAUGCUCUAAGGAUGUGGCUCUUUUCAUGUUUAUCUUUGAUUCAAGCAUUGUAAAGAGCAAUCCCUCGCACUUACGUGCUUCAUUGUAUUCUGGCCAUGAGAGAUUCUCCCCCACUGUUUGUAGCCUUUUUUCAGUGCAGCUAGUAAAAUAUUUGAACAGGAAAAAAAAAAAAAAAAAAAAGAAAGAAAAAAGAAGAAAGAAAAAAAAAGAAAGAAAAAGAGACACUAAACAGCUUCCAGCAUUUAGAGGAUAAAAUGAGAUGUAAGGAAAAGGACGACUGUGGUUAAUGCACAGGGCUGGGAGGCCUCAGAUGGACCAUGGCCUCUCUUCGUUUCUCUUCUGACUUCUUCUGUGACUUUGUCUAAGUCAUUUGACCUCCUCCUGCUGUAGCUCUGGGGUGUUAAACACACACUAUGUUUUCUGCUGAGAAAACCCAAGCUUGCUGUCCCCAGAGAGCAGAGCUCAGCACUGCCCAUCCGCUCCCGAUGAGGAACUGUAUGGCCGUGAGCCCUCAUCAUCCUCUGCUCUGUGCCCAACAAACCCAGGGCUGUCAGCUACCGCUCAGACUCCUUGCCCUCCCCUGUGGAUGCAUAUCAGCACGUGAUACAGCCUGGUUUUGCUUCCCUAAUUUUGGAUGACACAUGGAAGCUGAUUUGCACAGGGUGAAUGCAAACCAAUGGCUCAUCCACUGAAAAAUAAUUAAAUUUCAAUGGGUUACAGCAGGCAAGCUGGAAUCCAAGGAUCCUAAGGUUGGUUAUGUUGGGGUGCUUAAGGGGAAACCUCCAGUGGGCAAGGAUCUGUUGUAGUCCAGAUAAGCCCUCACAA